UUUUGCUAAGACCAUCUUCUUUUUGACAUGUGCAUCUCAAUCUUAGCCUGAAAUUAAUGUCAAUUAUGCCAACUGAAAGGUGAUAGGCUUCCGAUCUAUUGAAUCACAGUGGAUAUAUUUAUCUGCAGACAAUGGCAAAGCUCCGUCAGCGUUAUGAUGAUUUGAAAGAGCGGUAUGCAGUUUCCGAUGUUACUGUUUCACUACAGAAUGUGGCUUCUCAGCUAGGCUACAGCAGCAUCGACUCUUUGAGCCUGGAGGACACGGUCGUUGAGAUUGUGAGUCGGAUUGAGAAGCUGAUGCAAGCAAAGACAAUGAUGGAAGCUGCUGGGAAGCCUGAAUGAUUCGAGCACCGACUGAGGUCCGAGGAAUCAAGUUCGUAGCUUGAUUUCAAUAUUUUUUGCAACAUUCCAUAUACAUAGUGUGUACGUAUGAAGGCUUUGAGGGCAUGCGCCAUGUCGUGUAAAUGAGUCUUUCAUGACAUUAUAGUAACACGCUUCCUCGCUGCAAGUUAUUCAUGCGGCCAGUUGUAAAAUGUAAAUGGCUCAAUGGCCGAACAUUAAUCAGGAGAUGUUUUUUUCCAGUGAGUAAGAAAGAAGAAGGGGAGCACCAUUUC